CGCCCUGGUCGGAGUUCGGGGAAGGUCGUCGGUUGGUUGGUAUCGAUUUGGAUCUAAACGCGCAAUUACAGUUCUUUGUGCGGAAUUCCUUGGGGAGACUUCAACGAAGAAAAAAUGGAAAACUGACUGUAACGAGAACUCACCACGACACUGCAAAACUGCAGCAGUUUGGAAAAGUUUCUCCACCGUCGUCACGUGGAUUGUUGCUGGAUAUCCGUCUUAACCGACCGACCCCGUACAGGAAAACUUUGGAUGUAGGCUACAAACUUGAAACAACUUCCCCGGGAGGUAGCAAAGGUGAUAGGCACCUCCAUUGCAUUUGCGCUGCGUUCCGGAAAUGUGUAACCGGAACGGUCAACCGGAAGUGAUGCGUUGUUGGCACCGGCAUGGGGGAGGCCGGUGGAGAAUGGAAUUUUGCUGCUGCCGGCGAGUUGUUCUUGUCACCGGUUACAUGAUGGACCUAAAUUGAAGCGGUCCUCGCAACGGAAGUUGGUGUAAAUUUACUUCAACAAACGCGAAACUUCCGCAGAAUCAAGGGAAAGAAGAAGAAAUUUAGCCUGAUUAGUUUAUGAAUAUUCUUACGAUUGCAAGUUGUUUGUUACACACAUGUUUUGUAAAUUUAUAACGCCUUUACAAAUUUGUUACAAUGUUUUAAAGCAGGUUAUGAAAAAUAUUUCACGAUCCUUUUUAUAUAAGCGACGAACCUUCCAGAUUAUGAACGCAAAUUGGAGGAAAAACAAACAUUUUUGGCGAUUUUUAUGAAACCCUGGAGCCUUAUCUAAUUUUGUUAAAAAAAUAUUUGCUGGAGCUGUUUGCAAAACAAUAUUUUGAUCGAUUUGAAAAUGUAAAGAUCAACUCAAUUCAAAAGAGGACAACUUUAUUUGUAAGAUUUCACCAGCUUCACCACAUUCGAUAACAUAUUGAAAUGCACAAAUAAAUCUGUACAACAAUCAUG